rnacentral:tRNA from 1 species
AAGGGUAUAGCUCAGUGGUAGAGUGCAUUCUUGGCAUGCACAAAGCCCUGGGUUCAAACCCCAGUACUUCUA